rnacentral:rRNA from 1 species
GGAAAGGCCCUUCGGGGUACUCGAGUGGCGAACGGGUGAGUAACACGUGGGUGAUCUGCCCUGCACUUUGGGAUAAGCCUGGGAAACUGGGUCUAAUACCGAAUAGGACCGCAUGCUUCAUGGUGUGUGGUGGAAAGCUUUUGCGGUGUGGGAUGGGCCCGCGGCCUAUCAGCUUGUUGGUGAGGUAAUGGCUUACCAAGGCGACGACGGGUAGCCGGCCUGAGAGGGUGACCGGCCACACUGGGACUGAGAUACGGCCCAGACUCCUACGGGAGGCAGCAGUGGGGAAUAUUGCACAAUGGGCGCAAGCCUGAUGCAGCGACGCCGCGUGAGGGAUGACGGCCUUCGGGUUGUAAACCUCUUUCGCCAGGGACGAAGCGCAAGUGACGGUACCUGGAGAAGAAGGACCGGCCAACUACGUGCCAGCAGCCGCGGUAAUACGUAGGGUCCGAGCGUUGUCCGGAAUUACUGGGCGUAAAGAGCUCGUAGGUGGUUUGUCGCGUUGUUCGUGAAAACUCACAGCUUAACUGUGGGCGUGCGGGCGAUACGGGCAGACUUGAGUACUGCAGGGGAGACUGGAAUUCCUGGUGUAGCGGUGGAAUGCGCAGAUAUCAGGAGGAACACCGGUGGCGAAGGCGGGUCUCUGGGCAGUAACUGACGCUGAGGAGCGAAAGCGUGGGGAGCGAACAGGAUUAGAUACCCUGGUAGUCCACGCCGUAAACGGUGGGUACUAGGUGUGGGUUUCCUUCCUUGGGAUCCGUGCCGUAGCUAACGCAUUAAGUACCCCGCCUGGGGAGUACGGCCGCAAGGCUAAAACUCAAAGAAAUUGACGGGGGCCCGCACAAGCGGCGGAGCAUGUGGAUUAAUUCGAUGCAACGCGAAGAACCUUACCUGGGUUUGACAUGCACAGGACGCCGGCAGAGAUGUCGGUUCCCUUGUGGCCUGUGUGCAGGUGGUGCAUGGCUGUCGUCAGCUCGUGUCGUGAGAUGUUGGGUUAAGUCCCGCAACGAGCGCAACCCUUGUCUCAUGUUGCCAGCACGUUAUGGUGGGGACUCGUGAGAGACUGCCGGGGUCAACUCGGAGGAAGGUGGGGAUGACGUCAAGUCAUCAUGCCCCUUAUGUCCAGGGCUUCACACAUGCUACAAUGGCCGGUACAAAGGGCUGCGAUGCCGUGAGGUGGAGCGAAUCCUUUCAAAGCCGGUCUCAGUUCGGAUCGGGGUCUGCAACUCGACCCCGUGAAGUCGGAGUCGCUAGUAAUCGCAGAUCAGCAACGCUGCGGUGAAUACGUUCCCGGGCCUUGUACACACCGCCCGUCACGUCAUGAAAGUCGGUAACACCCGAAGCCGGUG